ensembl:lncRNA
CACCUGACCAGGUCUUUACAGGUAGUCCUGCAAUAGAGGAAGAAACUCAAAGACUCUCAGUUGUUUACUUUCUUCAGGAACAGUUUAGCUGACUUCCUCCAUUUCACUGCAACAACAACAAAAACACUUCUCACAGUUACAUAUCAGAUUGGAAUUUGGAUCAUCCUAGCAGCCUUUCCACGUAGUCCUUUGCAUGUAAACAGACCUGGUAGCUCUAUUGUGGUACAGAAGUCAGUUACACUCUUUUCACUGAGGGUGGCUUAUUUGGGAAAGCAGGAGUGAGGUUUGACACCUGUGCAGCUGCCCUUCUCAGCAGGAGUCCAGUGGGGACCAGAUCAGAAAUCCUCUGCCAUGCAUGUGAACUGCCUGCUUUACACAGUUUCACAACAGAAGUGUGAAAUGCCCUGCCAUAUAUCUCUCUAAUGCCCUGCUGUUUUAGGCGGCGGCAGACACAGAGAGCGACUGCAGACUGACUCUAAACAUUCCGUCUCAUUCUCUCUCCCCCUUGGUCACCAUUUAUAAAACUGUGUGACAUUAGUGAAUUGUCACUUUAAUAAAGCUGCCUCCGCUCCUGCAAUAGUAAUUAUCAAGAUUUGUCUCCAUUACAAGUCAUGUGCAAUUGAUUCCAUGUGCUUCAGUUUGGAAACGUCUCUCUUGUACAAUGAUGACUUGUUCCACCUAAGGGGAGGCCUUUUAAUCAUUGUGUGAAUUAUACUCGACUACAU